rnacentral:rRNA from 1 species
UACGUAGGCAGCAAGCGUUGUUCGGAGUUACUGGGCGUAAAGGGUGUGUAGGCGGUCUUCUAAGUUUGGUGUGAAAUCUCCCGGCUCAACUGGGAGGGUGCGCCGAAAACUGGAAGGCUAGAGUACUGGAUGGGAGAGUGGAAUUCCUGGUGUAGCGGUGAAAUGCGUAGAUAUCAGGAGGAACACCUGUGGUGUAGACGGCUCUCUGGACAGUAACUGACGCUGAGACACGAAAGCGUGGGUAGCAAACAGG